AGUUUCUACUUUACAUGCCAAGACAACUUGUAUUGCCCUUAUGCAGUUCACUCAUCGCCGGGACAAGGUUCGAGAAACUAUCUUAUUUUAAGUCGUUCCUCAGUUGUGAGAUGACGAUCUUCUCCGGUACCUGUUCCGGAUUGUAGCACUACUGUUAGGAUCAUCCUCAACAACCUGCAGAAAAAGCUCAACAAAUGAGAAGAAACAUGGUGCAACUUUUUUCGUUUCAGAUGGAAAACAUGGAUGCCAUUUUACAGUGAGAGCAAUUAGAAUCUGUUCACCAGGAGAUUCAAAAAUUACACAACACAUUAUUUGCUACAUAAGUUUAUUUUAAAAAAAAUUAUUUGACUUCCAAUUUCCUUGAUGAUAAUCAUCUAGCACUUUCUUGAU
rnacentral:lncRNA from 1 species